rnacentral:lncRNA from 1 species
AGGAGAGGAGAGGAGAGGAGAGGAGAGGAGAGGAGAGGAGAGGAGAGGAGAGGAGAGGAGAGGAGAGGAGAGGAGAGGAGAGGAGAGGAGAGGAGAGGAGAGGAGAGGAGAGGAGAGGAGAGGAGAGGGGAGGAGGUUGGGAGAGAAGAGAGAGAAGAGAAGGGAAGAGAAGGGAAGAGAAGGGAAGAGAAGAGAAGAGAAGAGAAGAGAAGAGAAGAGAAGAGAAGAGAAGAGAAGAGAAGAGAAGAGAAGAGAAGAGAAGAGAAGAGAAGAGAAGAGAAGAGAAGAGAAGAGAAGAGAAGAGAAGAGAAGAGAAGAGAAGAGAAGGAGACGAGUAAAAAUGAGCUAAAAAAAUUGUAGUAUUUGUUUAAAAAAAUAAAUGCCAGAAUCGUGGCUACGAUGUGAAGGAGUAUUUUUUUUACCAAGUCUUCAUUUUAAUAGCUGCUGUCUCUUCUCUAUACCUGUUACAGAAUCACAGAGUCGCCGAAUGUCAGGGAUUGAAAGGAACCUCGAAAGAUCAUCUAGUCCAAUCCCCUAGCUGUCUCGCUCCAAUUUAUAGGAGGGAGAGGAGGUUCUUUGAUAUAUGUAUACCUGGUGUGAGAUUAAGAAGCAGCGGUUCAAAUGUUGGUCUGACGAGUUUAUUACAAAUGUUAAUAAGGGAGAUGAGGACAGGGGAGGAUGAACACCAUUACGGAUUGGGGCAAUGGGGAAGGGAAGGUGAGCGAUAGAAAAGAUAGGAAAUAGAAGCAAGGACUCUUUAUAGGUACAAAUUAGGGUGAUGGGGAAGGGAAGAAGGGCAGUAGAAAAGAUAGAAGCAAGGAGUCUCUAUAGGAGGCAAGAGGGAGACAGUCACCAUCAUGGGUCUGGUGUGGUUUGUGGUUCGGUUGUUGCUCUUCAGUAGAGGUGGGCUAUUGGGCGUUGUUCCAUUGAUGAGGAUGGUGACCACCGUGAUGACGACGAUGACAAUUGUGACGACAGCACAAACUUAUUUAUAGGUCCAAAGUGGUUGAGUCAGCCUUUUGGAGUGACAGCUUCUGGCUUUUGGAUCUCACCAGGAACUCCUUUUGUUCCUAUCUCCCUGGCCUUGCCAGCAGAUAAGAGGGAGUAUGGAGACGCCAACUAGUAAAUUGUCUUCACAAGAUACGAUGGUAUCAUCCCCCAGUCUCCCAUGGCAAACAGGAGUAAUUUGGUCACAGGACAGAUCUUCCACCAGUAAACAGGCCUGAG